UCUUUGGAAGAAGAGAAGGAUUGAUGAGACAUUUCAAGACUCUCAAAAACCGAUAAAUAUUCUGAAGAUUUGCUACUUCUCAUUUUGUUGUUCCUUGUAUAAGGUUGAAGACUGAUUUUGUAAAUUAUAGAAAAUGUCUGUAUAUAUUCGAACUCGAAAGAUAAUGCAAUUUAUUAAUGUCUAUGGUACUACUGAAUGUUUUAAAUAUCCCGAAGUCUUCAGUACUAGCAGGUACCAUUUUUAAAACCUGUUCACUAUAGAUGCUGGACUAGAUGAUAAUGGCUCAUCAUUCCGCAAAGAUUAAGUGUGAAGUAGAAGCGACACCUUCAUCUUUAUACCCAACUCUCCUGAUGUGAUGGAUUUCAUAUAUCGAAGUUAUCGUCGCUGCCAAGUGUCGUCCUUUCGAUUUCUUUUUGAAAAUACAAUACUGGAUCCAAGCUGGUUUCGGAAAAGAUCCCCAUCUGAAUCGCACCACACUGAACCAAGCCAUUUUUAGAUGGAAGAGGAAGAUAUUUUCUCUUGGAUUUCCCAUUCUAUCGCAUUAGACUAACCAGAUUGACAUGUUUUGACCGAAAUGACCAUGGCUCAACAGGAAAUAUCUGGAACCUACAAGUGGAUUUUGGAAUUUGGACCCUUUUCAAAUUAAAUUAUGGUCAGAGAUCCAACAGAUAUAAUUGAUAGUUUCAAAAGCUAGGAAUAUUAAACCAAGUUCAAAAUGCAUCGCCUUUAAUACUCGCAAAUUAUCAAGACUUAAAUUCAGUCUGCACAGUGGAUUGAAAGUGAAAGGUUUAUGAUCUCUCCAUAUACCAGACAAGUGGUUUCAAAGAAACGAGGGCAAAAUCAUGUGGAUUUAACAUGUGUAAUCCGUGAUAGAAGAAAAUAACCAUGAAGAUUUCUUCUUAUUAAACUAUGGAAUCAAUGUUAAUUUGGAGG